UAUAAAUACAGAGAGCGGCGUUUCUUCAGUCACUUCCACCAGAAAGCGACGCAGGUUCUCGAAGCUCUCGGAAAUAAACGGUCCACCAUGACUGUCUCCAGGUGCUCCUUCAUCUCUGAGCUGACGCCUGAAGUCCACACCAGAGGACCAUCAGCGCUGGAGAGAAAUGACCCUUCGGGCCACCGUAGUGACGCUGGUGAUCACCUGGGAUGAAUUUGUCACCAAGCAGAAAUGAUUAACCUGAACACAGGUUUAAUGUGGCGCAGUGAAACAGAACAGACCCCUCACAGCUGCUGAUCCACGCCUGUGAAACCGGCUGGAUUUGAGAAGGCUGUGCGCAUCACCUGAAGAACGGCAGGGUGACGUCGGGGCUCGCCAUGCUUUAAUGGACCCGCUGGAGGGGGUUCCUCCCUGGUGGCGGAAAAACCAGGUGCAGAGGACUUGUUUCCCCCACAAUGUUUAUUGAUUGUUAACAAAGAAAUAAAGAUCAAUCUGUUCGACUAAAGUGGAAAUGUGUUGUCUCAUUGGGAUUCUCUAAAAAUAAAAUGUACUCAUUUUGAA